rnacentral:rRNA from 1 species
AGCGAACGCUGGCGGCAGGCCUAACACAUGCAAGCCGAACGAACCCUUCGGGGUUAGUGGCGGACGGGUGAGUAACACGUGGGAACGUGCCUUUAGGUUCGGAAUAACUCAGGGAAACUUGUGCUAAUACCGAAUGUGCCCUUCGGGGGAAAGAUUUAUCGCCUUUAGAGCGGCCCGCGUCUGAUUAGCUAGUUGGUGAGGUAAUGGCUCACCAAGGCUACGAUCAGUAGCUGGUCUGAGAGGGUGACCAGCCACAUUGGGACUGAGACACGGCCCAAACUCCUACGGGAGGCAGCAGUGGGGAAUCUUGCGCAAUGGGCGAAAGCCUGACGCAGCCAUGCCGCGUGGAUGAUGAAGGUCUUAGGAUUGUAAAAUCCUUUCACCGGUGAAGAUAAUGACUGUAGCCGGAGAAGAAGCCCCGGCUAACUUCGUGCCAGCCGCCGCUGUAAGAC